rnacentral:lncRNA from 1 species
UGGAAUCCACACGAAGCAUACAUACUCAAAGGCUUCAGCAAGCUUGAGAAUAUCUGAAAAUAUGCCAUAUAAGCCAGCUCCCGAGUUCAACACCUUCACCAGGGUUUGUGAAUCAGAUUCGAUCCGUACCUUCUUCAGCUCCUUUCGUUGGCAAGUAAGCACCGCUUCCCUUACCGCUAGUCCCUCAGCUAUCAAGGGCGUCUGCACUCGCUCAGUUAUAUACUUAUAUUAGAUACGAAUCCUGAUCCUUUUCAAAGAGAUUUUUACUUCUUUUUUUUUUUAAUUCAACGUCGUCUUUAUUUUUUUUUUUGUAACUUAAAUUACAAAAAAUACUUCAAAUAGAAUAACCGAGUAGGUAAUAAUAUGUUUUUUUUUUUAACUUAAAUUAUAUGUUUUUUUGCCAAACAACUUAAACUAUAUGUUUAUUCCUUCAAAAAUAAUAGGGAUGAUCAAUGUACUUCAUUGUAGUGUUUCUAUUUCCAAAUUAUAUGGAGAUAUAAUGGUUCCUAAUGGUGACUGCAGGUUGAGCGGUGCGGAACAAGCGGUUUAAUUGCGGUGCGGUUUUAACAAUUAUAAACAUGUAUAGAUAUAGAGUAUAUAUAUAGAUUUUUGUUACUGCUAAUUGCGGGGCGGGGCGGGAAGCUGGUUACCAUUCGAAGCCAAUAGUAAGUUCGUAAAUAUAAGAAAAUCGAUUAAAUUUCAAGUUUCUUUUAUUAAUAACUAGAGUAUAACAUGUGUCAUGCUCAGUUAACUUUCAUUGAUUAAUUAAACACUUGUUUUAUUUUAUAGAUUGUUUAAGUUCGUUUUUAUAUUUUCUUGAAGGAUGUAGAUCGUUGAUGGGAUCUGAAAGUCCAAUAUAAGUUUUUGUAUAUGAAGUGUCAGCCAA